UAAAUAUCGUCGGCUAAACCUUUAAAUAUCGUCGGCUACAGUUGCUGGUUUAUGAAAAAAACUGCAGAAACUUUCGGCCACCUCCAAUCACCACCAAAAUUUGACAGAAUUUUCCUCUCAACAUUUUGAACAACUUUCUAGAAGAAGUUGAAGCCCAAUUCUAAGCCUAAACAGGUCAAUCGAAUCAAAAUAUAAAAAUCCCCAAUUUUAAACCCUAAAAACUUCAAAUCUUCGAUUCUCCUCACACACACCGAAUCGAGCUACCAAAUUCUAGGGGAAUGUAGUACUAAUCAAACUCAACUUAUCUAUAUAUAGAACUCACCAAGUGGUGACCUGAGGAAGGAGAAAUUCGAUCGACACCGAAUCCGAACCGGCGGAGUUUUGGAGCUCGAUUUAUCUCUCACGGCGGCGCCACUCGAUGCACCACCUGUCCAGCAAUGAAGUAGAGACGACGGCGAAGCUUUUGGGACAAGUGUGGCGGUCUUCGGUGGCUUGACGGCGGAGCUAGCCCGAGAAAAAAAUCUGGCAGGGGAAAUAGACUUCUUACCAUCCACCUUCGGUAAAACUCCUACAUAAAGAACUUUAGCCGACGAAAUUCUUUAUUUUCGUCGGCUAAACUCUUUUGAAACUUUUGAAAAUUUUGAAAAUUUUGGUUGACCGCCAAAAAAUUUUGAAAAUUUUUCGACUUUAGCUGACGACUUUUCAUAUAUUUUCGUCGGCUAAAGUCCUUUGAAAAUUUUCCUCCAAAUUUAGUUUACCGCCCAAAAAUUUUUGACCUUAGCCGAUGACUGUUUUAAUAUCUCGUCAGCUAAAGUCUAUAAAUUCACGAAAACGCUCAUAUCUCCCUCUAUAUUACGUAGUUUGGUCAAACCUUCCACACAAAAAACUUUCACGUAGAUGAGACGCAACCGUCUAUAUAAAAAUUUUGAGACAUUUGCCUUCCGAUGAUAGGGCUCCCCAUAGGGAAUAAUAACGGUAAAUAGGGUUGACCGCUACUAUCGGCACUGAGACUUUACCCGAUUUACGUGAUUUUUGAGCCAUAGCCGUAUUUCACCAUUCUGAACACAUCUUAUUUCACGAGAUUUUUGAUAAUUUUGCUUCCUAUAUAGAGUUGGUUCACAAAGUUGUAUAACCAACUAAACAAGUUAUACAACAUUAGUAGACACGUUGUGAUUCCAAUGACUAAAAUUCACAAACUAAAAUUCGACCAUUAGAUAUGAUCAUUAUGACGAAAAAUGUCUAUGGUAAAAAAUUUAACUGGAUCCGACAACGUUAAGGACUCGAUCGAAACGGUUAACCCUAAUCCAUCAUCACGAAAACGCUCAUAUCUCCCUCUAUAUUACGUGGUUUGGUCAAACCUUCCACACAAAAAACUCUCACGUAGAUGAGGCGCAACUGCCCAUAUAAAAAUUUUGAGACAUUUACCUUCCGACGAUAGGGCUCCCCAUAAGGAAUAAUAACGGUAAAUAGUAGACACGUUGUGAUUCCGAUGACUAAAAUUUACAAACCAAAAUUCGACCAUCCGAUAUGAUCAUUAUGACGAAAGAUGUCUAUGGUAAAAAAUUCAACUAGAUUCGACAACGUUAAGGGCUCGAUCGAAACGGUCAACUCUAAUCGGAAUAAGAAACUGCAUUUUGAAGCCCUAAACGGAC
rnacentral:lncRNA from 1 species